UUAAAUUAAAAACAUAUUAUAUUAAUCAUCCCGAAGUAAGAAGAUCUAAUUUUUACCACAUUUUAGCAUUUUAAGAGCAUUAGUGUAGCAUAACUAAUAGUAGAGUAAAAAUUAGGAGUGAAAGGCUAAUCAAUUCUUACUGAUAUCUGGAUUAGGUCUAAAUAUAUUUAGUAUAUAACACAAAUAAAAAGCACUAAGAUUUUUUAUAAAAAAAAGAUUGAGUGGUCACAUCGGCUAAUUUAUUAAUAUAAAAUAGUUGAACCUAAAGAAAUAUAACUCUUCCCUAUUCUUUUUUAUUUAGACUUAUAGCCCCUGGUACAAUAAAGUGGUUAAAUUAUGUUUAAAUUAGUAUUAACUUAAAAAGAUCUUAAGGAACUCGGCAAGUACAUUUUUUCAACUGUUUAUCAAAAACAUAGCUAGCAGAUAAAGGCUGAUUGCUAGUUUAUUCUGCCCGGUGAGAUAUUUAACGGCCGCAGUACACUGACUGUGCAAAGGUAGCAUAAUAAAUUGGCUUUUAAUUGAAGUCCUGUAUGAAAGAAAUAAAUGGAAAAAAACUGUCUUAAGACUUUUUUUUAGAAGUUACUUAGAAAGUGCAAAUUCUUUCAAUAGCCUUUAAUAGACGAGAAGACCCUAUAAAUUUUUACUAAAAGAGGAAUAUUUCUUUUUGUGUUUUUGUUGGGGCAACAAUUUAACAGUAUAAGUAAAUUAAAUAAUUUAUAUCCUAUCCACCGAAUUCUAUUAAUUAAAAAAAAAUUACUAUAGGGAUAACAGCAUAAUUUUACAAGUAAGAUUGUGACCUCGAUGUUGGAUUAGGGCUCAGUCAAAUCAGUAAUUUGACUGUCAGGUUCUGUUCGAACUUUCUCUUCCCU
rnacentral:rRNA from 1 species